GCCCUUAGAGUUUGAUCCUGGCUCAGGACGAACGCUGGCGGCGUGCUUAACACAUGCAAGUCGAGCGGAAAGGCCCUUCGGGGUACUCGAGCGGCGAACGGGUGAGUAACACGUGAGCAACCUGCCCUAGGCUUUGGGAUAACCCCGGGAAACCGGGGCUAAUACCGAAUAUUCACUUGCGGACGCAUGUUUGUGGGUGGAAAGUUUUUCGGCUUGGGAUGGGCUCGCGGCCUAUCAGCUUGUUGGUGGGGUGAUGGCCUACCAAGGCGACGACGGGUAGCCGGCCUGAGAGGGCGACCGGCCACACUGGGACUGAGACACGGCCCAGACUCCUACGGGAGGCAGCAGUGGGGAAUAUUGCACAAUGGGCGGAAGCCUGAUGCAGCGACGCCGCGUGAGGGAUGACGGCCUUCGGGUUGUAAACCUCUUUCAGCAGGGACGAAGCGCAAGUGACGGUACCUGCAGAAGAAGCGCCGGCCAACUACGUGCCAGCAGCCGCGGUAAGACGUAGGGCGCGAGCGUUGUCCGGAUUUAUUGGGCGUAAAGAGCUCGUAGGCGGCUUGUCGCGUCGACUGUGAAAACCCGUGGCUCAACUGCGGGGCCUGCAGUCGAUACGGGCAGGCUAGAGUUCGGUAGGGGAGACUGG
rnacentral:rRNA from 1 species